rnacentral:rRNA from 1 species
AGAGUUUGAUCAUGGCUCAGAACGAACGCUGGCGGCAUGCCUAACACAUGCAAGUCGAACGCGACCUUUCGGGGUCGAGUGGCGCACGGGUGAGUAGCGCGUGGGAACCUGCCCUGAAGUGGGGGAUAACCGCGGGAAACUGCGGCUAAUACCGCAUACGCCCCCGGACUUGGUCCGGGGGGAAAGAUUUAUCGCUUUGGGAGGGGCCCGCGUCGGAUUAGGUAGUUGGUGGGGUAACGGCCUACCAAGCCUGCGAUCCGUAGCUGGUCUGAGAGGAUGAUCAGCCACACUGGGACUGAGACACGGCCCAGACUCCUACGGGAGGCAGCAGUGGGGAAUAUUGGACAAUGGGCGCAAGCCUGAUCCAGCAAUGCCGCGUGAGUGAUGAAGGCCUUCGGGUUGUAAAGCUCUUUCGCACGCGAGGAUGAUGACGCUAGCGUGAGAAGAAGCCCCGGCUAACUUCGUGCCAGCAGCCGCGGUAAUACGAAGGGGGCGAGCGUUGUUCGGAUUUACUGGGCGUAAAGGGCGCGUAGGCGGCGUGAGAAGUCAGGCGUGAAAGCCCCGGGCUCAACCUGGGAGGUGCGCUUGGGACUCUCAUGCUGGAGUUCGGGAGAGGAGCGUGGAAUUCCCAGUGUAGAGGUGAAAUUCGUAGAUAUUGGGAAGAACACCGGUGGCGAAGGCGGCGCUCUGGACCGAGACUGACGCUGAGGCGCGAAAGCGUGGGGAGCAAACAGGAUUAGAUACCCCGGUAGUCC